CCCCCAUAGUUUUACAAGGAAGCUUUGUCUAUAGAACAUAGAAUUUGCAUGUCAGCAAGAAAUAGCUUUGAUAAAAUGUGUAUUUACUAAAAGCCUUGAAACCUAACCUUGAGAAACUAACCGUGCCAGCUACACUCUAAAUGGAUGGCUGCCAAAGCACCCCUCCCAUCGAGUGAACACCUCGUGCUAACAAGAUGGCGCCUACAUCUUGUGUCCACUCCCGUGUCAAGGAUGACAUCACCUCUUGAUAGGAGGGUACCUAACUAACCACUUAACA